UCCCAAUUUAUUCAUAUUAAAUGUGUCACAUGUCCAAAUUGCACCAAAUUUCAACAGUGCACUCCCUUGUAUCCCCAGCAAUACACCUACCAAGUGUUAAAUGGAUCAGAUGAACGGUUCUCAAGAUAUGCAAAGGACAAACAUACAUACAGACAGACAGAGAGACAGAGAUUCCUUGUUUCAUAUAGAGAGAUUUAAAUGGAAUUUCUAGGAAACAGGGUUGUGUGUGUGCAAAACUGACAUUAGGACCUUGGGAUGGCACUAAAGGAAAGCUUGUAUUCCAAAAUGCAAAUGGGGCCUCAUACAUACAUGUAGAUUUGAUAAAUGUCAAGAUAAUUAGUUUAUGAUGUUUCUGGUGUCACCUACGGACAUGGUCUCACCAAUCUGAUCACGUUUUCUAUGUGCAUUUACACCUUGCAUUAACGUGUUUUUCCUUAUCCAGAUAUCCAGAUAACAGAGUGCAUGUUGAUGCCUAGUGUAAAUUUUGUUUUUAUUGCUGGUAGGUGUAGUGUGAGCCUGUCUAUAUUUGUUGGCUCUGUGAUAGAGGGUGUACCCACAGUUUACCCCACCUCUCGCCCAGUGUGAGUUGGGAUAGGAGACCCAUGAGCCGCAAACCCUGCACGCAAUAAGCAGUUAUAGAUCAUGAACACAUUUAUUUAUCAAAAUUCUCAGAGUAGAAAAUCAGUCCUAACUGGAAAUCACUGCUCUCGCACAAUGAAUUAAUUUAUAUCAUUUGCAUAUAUGCAGCAGUUAGACAAAAAUGUGAGGGAUGCACUGAUAUGAAAAUUCUCCAAAAAGCCGAAAUCACAGGUUUCACAUACAAAUCUUAGUUGUGUGCACAGGUGUACAGUCCAUACUAUCACAUGAUAGUCAGUUAUAUCUUGGAUUAGUGUGCAGUCAAAGUUAUAAAAACCAUCUCCACACUCAGAGCAGUAGGUCUCCUGCAGCCAGUUUCGUGGUAACUCCAGAAAAUACUUUGCAGACUGGUAGCAAAGUUUUUACAUGCAGGCAAAAUUAAGAGUAUUACAUGUACCUGGCAACAACAGAGUGGUAUUAGGUCUCCAACAGCCAGUUUUGCAGUAACAAGCAAAACAGAAUUGUUUUGCAAGCUACACCAUGAGGAUUACCUAUAAACCUAAAAUUGAGCUAGCAAAGUCACAGAUAGUGUGGUGUACUCAACAAAUUACUUCACGCAAAUUACAACCAACCACUAUCAAAACAAAGCAUUUGUUGUGGUAGUUGGGAGUUCAUCUCACCAUACAAAAACAUACAACACACUUUUACCUAUAAAAACAAAGUUAUAGAAGGUAUUAGAGCUUAUUACAUAUCUAAUGUUACCAUGAAGAUGGGAUAUAGCAGACUGGUAGCAGAAUUUGGGGCACUCACCCCUACUUCUGGCGCCAGUGCUCAGAGGGAUUCCUGAAGACAAAAUCCUCUCAUCCUCUGGUCUAUUGUGCAUCUAUUGUGAGGUCCUUGACAUGAGAAAGUUUGCAACAACAGGGUCUCACCAUCUGUUCCACACAUAUACAAAAAACUACUUAUCGUUACUUAUCUACCCAUAGGAUGAUCUGUUACUAUUUACUACUUUUAAAGAGCUGUAGCCUACUCGACGCCUGAACUACAGCCAUAGAGAAUGAAGCCAUUUCGUCUAUCACGGAGAUUCCAACAGUAAUUGAAUUUGUGUUACCUGCUUACGACUUAGAGGGUUGGACAAUGUUCGCACCAGGGUUAUCUGCAGUGCAUUUGGAUCAAAGCGCAACGGUCCCAGUCAACCCAGUGGUAAACAACAACAGUCCAAUCCCUGCAGACAGCUGCGGGGUAAUUCAUCCAACUUAAGAACAGAGGUUGCCAACUCCUUUAACUCUACCAGCUGACCCUCGGAGCCUGGUUAACCCAGUAGUAAACAAGGACACUCCAAACCAAGUGGACAGCUCUGAUGCAAUUCCACGGGUUGAAGAACAAAGGUUGCCUGCUCCUGUAAGUCAGCCAGCGGCCAGUCAGAGGCUGUGGAGCAGGUCUCAUCCAGGGGGGAGACAAAACACAGAUAGCAGCUGCAACAGCAGCAGCUCCAAGAGAUCACACAGAUCAGCCAGUGGUGAGGAAGCAGGAGGCAGUUGAAUAGACACCACUGCUGAUGCAGAAGAUGUUACGACGAACACAGGACAUCCUCUUUCUGAUGAGUGAACCAUAUUGGGUCAUGGCCAGGACUUUAUCAGUUUGUAGCAGUCGUAGUUUGUGACAUACGAUAUGCAAGAUAUUUUCUGUAUGUACUGAUUUGUAAAAACUUGUGUAAUCAGGUGUGACAUUUUUAUGGCAUCAUGGUGAAAAUUCUAAGGUUUUAUCAGACGACCUAUGACAAAAUGGUUUAAAUGAAGUUGAAGUGCCAGGAUAGUUACAGCAUCUA